rnacentral:rRNA from 1 species
UACGUAGGGGGCAAGCGUUGUCCGGAAUCAUUGGGCGUAAAGCACGUGUAGGCGGCCAGAAAAGUCCGCUGUGAAAACUCGAGGCUCAACUUCGAGCUGUCGGUGGAAACUUUCUGGCUAGAGUCCGGAAGAGGAGAAUGGAAUUCCUGGUGUAGCGGUGAAAUGCGCAGAUAUCAGGAAGAACACCCGUGGCGAAGGCGGUUCUCUGGGACGGUACUGACGCUGAGACGCGAAAGCGUGGGGAGCGAACAGG